UCGUAGGGUGCAAGCGUUAACCGGAAUGAUUGGGCGUAAAGCGUGCGCAGGCGGCCUUGUAAGACUGGAGUGAAAGUCCUGCUUUUAAGGUGGGAAUUGCUUUGGAUACUGUCGGGCUUGAGUGCAGGAGAGGUGAGUGGAAUUCCCGGUGUAGCGGUGAAAUGCGUAGAGAUCGGGAGGAACACCAGUGGCGAAGGCGACCUACUGGACUGUAACUGACGCUCAGGCGCGAAAGUGUGGGGAGCAAACAG
rnacentral:rRNA from 1 species